rnacentral:lncRNA from 1 species
GCAAAGGCCAGAUCUAAACUUGGUAAAGCUGAGAUAACAUCAGAUUUACAGAGUGAUGUAGAUGUUUCAAGACUACGUACAAAACGUAUUCAGAAAUAUCUUGAAGAUGACAACGAUAAUAUUGAUGAGUAUUCUGACAAGGAUUCUCAGCAAAUAAAUAAACAACCCCUUUGCCAAGUUUCUAAGAAAAGGGAAGGUUCUGCAGAAGGGAGCAACAGUCGAUCGAAAACUAAAUCUCACAAACCAGCCCCUAAAGCACCUCCAUUUCCUGUGUCUAGUCCUUGCUCUUUAACACCUUCAUCUCCUGUAAUCAGUGAACGAGCCAUACCAGAAUCAAUUUCACAGCCAUUUACUAGAGCUAUUGAACGAGGCUCUGAGUUAUCUACAUCACAUGUAGCUAGUCAACAAUCUGUAACACCUGCAACCACAAGUAGUUGGCAAUCUGCAACAUCUACAUCUGCUGCUACAAUUGCAUACAAUCAGUCGGCGUAAUUUAGAAGAUAUAUCAUUUGUUUCAGCAGGCGCCUUUAUAGAAGGAGAGUUAGAACAAGUGAUAGCCAACCUUGUUCCUAAUAUUCCGACUAGCUUGUCAAUUCCAGCUACUAGUUUAAAUGCCACAUAAUUGUCUACAGCAGCUAUUCAUACAUCUGCACAAACAUCAAACAGUGUUUUAAAUAAAAUAUUUACUCUUUUAGUUGAGCUGAAAAGCGAAGUAGCUAAUCUUCAGAAGCAGACUACUUACAACACUACUAUGUUGCAGACUUUGUCACAAGGUGGGAUACAAGACGAUGGCAACAUUUUUGAAACUCUUGAUCUUCCUGUAUGUGACUGAAAACAGCUGCAGCAGCUUGAAGAUAUAAUUACUAAAGACAAUCUUUUAUUUAAUAAACUUGUGCAUGGUGUUGCUUCGAAGGGCGGUCAGGACCUGAAGGAAGCCGUUAGAAGGAUGGUUUCCUCUCUAAUGGAAAACGACGUAGUAAAACAAAUGAAUUGGUCAGGACUUGGUGAAAAUCUAAAAACCCUUUCGUGACUUGAAAUGCCGACAAGUUCUGGAAAGAGCAUUGCGAAGAAAUCCACCAACGAAAGGUGCUUCAGAAAGUGAUGUGCAGAAGGCCGUGGUUCACUAUUUAGCAGGGGCUAGUGAUCGUAAUGGUGGUAAAAAACAAAGAGCCAUUCGACAAUCAAUAAAAAAAACUCACUUUGAACAUCGUGCACUAAUGCCUACAGCUUCAUCGGCAGUUAUAGAACAACCUUUAGUAGCGCCUAAAACUUCAGCGGAAGUUUUACUGCAUCAUUUGCCACUUUUCUGCUCAGACGACUCAAACAAUUAGUUAUGUUAAAAAUUAGUUAUGCUAAAUGCUGCUACUUUAUAGUUUCUUCAGAAACGUUUUAAAAGUUGUUUCCCAUAUUCAUAAUGUAGUUAUAUUUUUCGUGUAUUAAUAUUGUAUUUUAUGUUGUGGUUAUGUUUUUAUUAUGUACAUGUGUUAGUUCAAAUUACAGAAUAUAUUUCUUUAU